CUGUCAGACGACGCGGCGGCGUGCCUAAUACAUGCAAGUCGAGCGGACAGAAGGGAGCUGCUCCCGGAUGUUAGCGGCGGACGGGUGAGUAACACGUGGGUAACUGCCUGUAAGACUGGGAUAACUCCGGGAAACCGGAGCUAAUACCGGAUAGUUCCNUGAACCGCAUGGUUCAAGGAUGAAAGACGGUUUCGGCUGUCACUUACAGAUGGACCCGCGGCGCAUUAGCUAGUUGGUGGGGUAAUGGCUCACCAAGGCGACGAUGCGUAGCCGACCUGAGAGGGUGAUCGGCCACACUGGGACUGAGACACGGCCCAGACUCCUACGGGAGGCAGCAGUAGGGAAUCUUCCGCAAUGGACGAAAGUCUGACGGAGCAACGCCGCGUGAGUGAUGAAGGUUUUCGGAUCGUAAAGCUCUGUUGUUAGGGAAGAACAAGUGCGAGAGUAACUGCUCGCACCUUGACGGUACCUAACCAGAAAGCCACGGCUAACUACGUGCCAGCAGCCGCGGUAAUACGUAGGUGGCAAGCGUUGUCCGGAAUUAUUGGGCGUAAAGGGCUCGCAGGCGGUUUCUUAAGUCUGAUGUGAAAGCCCCCGGCUCAACCGGGGAGGGUCAUUGGAAACUGGGAAACUUGAGUGCAGAAGAGGAGAGUGGAAUUCCACGUGUAGCGGUGAAAUGCGUAGAGAUGUGGAGGAACACCAGUGGCGAAGGCGACUCUCUGGUCUGUAACUGACGCUGAGGAGCGAAAGCGUGGGGAGCGAACAGGAUUAGAUACCCUGGUAGUCCACGCCGUAAACGAUGAGUGCUAAGUGUUAGGGGGUUUCCGCCCCUUAGUGCUGCAGCUAACGCAUUAAGCACUCCGCCUGGGGAGUACGGUCGCAAGACUGAAACUCAAAGGAAUUGACGGGGGCCCGCACAAGCGGUGGAGCAUGUGGUUUAAUUCGAAGCAACGCGAAGAACCUUACCAGGUCUUGACAUCCUCUGACAACCCUAGAGAUAGGGCUUUCCCUUCGGGGACAGAGUGACAGGUGGUGCA
rnacentral:rRNA from 2 species